rnacentral:rRNA from 1 species
CACGUAGGGGGCAAGCGUUGUCCGGAUUUAUUGGGCGUAAAGAGCUCGUAGGCGGCUGAGUAAGUCGGAUGUCAAAUACCCAGGCUCAACCUGGGUCUCCACCCGAUACUGCUCUGGCUAGAGUCCGGUAGGGGAGCGUGGAAUUCCUGGUGUAGCGGUGAAAUGCGCAGAUAUCAGGAGGAACACCAGCGGCGAAGGCGGCGCUCUGGGCCGGAACUGACGCUGAGGAGCGAAAGCGUGGGUAGCAAAC